AAUUACACCAGUGAAGAGGAGCCUUAACUAGACUUACCAGUAGGACUGUGCCGCUUGCACUGUGCCGUGACAUCCAACAGGAAGAAGGAAAUUCCACAUGGGAAUUCUGAAUAUUGGGUUGUUCUCCUUCAAGAUGCUGGAUAAAGAAAGAUAUAAAGAUGAUAAAUUGAGAAAUUUUUUCUACUUUUUUUUUUUU